GACGAACGCUGGCGGCGUGCUUAACACAUGCAAGUCGAACGAAGUGGCGAACGGGUGAGUAACGCGUAAUCAACCUGCCCUUCAGAGGGGGACAACAGUUGGAAACGACUGCUACUACCGCAUACCGCAUGCGGGGAUUGCGUCUGAUUAGCUAGUUGGCGGGGUAACGGCCCACCAAGCACAUGAUCAGUAGCCGGGAUGAGAGGAUGAACGGCCAAAUUGGGACUGAGACACGGCCCAGACUCCUACGGGAGGCAGCAGUGGGGACUCUUCCGCAAUGGACGAAAGUCUGACGGAGAAACGCCGCGUGAGUGAUGAAGGCCUUCGGGUUGUAAAGCUCUGUUAAUCGGGACGCGGUACCGGAAGAGAAAGCCACGGCUAACUACGUGCCAGCAGCCGCGGUAAUUG
rnacentral:rRNA from 1 species